UACGUAGGGUGCAAGCGUUAAUCGGAAUUACUGGGCGUAAAGCGUGCGCAGGCGGUUUUGUAAGUCUGUCGUGAAAGCCCCCGGGCUCAACCUGGGAAUUGCGAUGGAGACUGCAAGGCUUGAAUCUGGCAGAGGGGGGGUAGAAUUCCACGUGUAGCAGUGAAAAUGCGUAGAGAUGUGGAGGAACACCGAUGGCGAAGGCAGCCCCCCUGGGUCAAGAUUGACGCUCAUGCACGAAAAGCGUGGGGGAGCAAACAGG
rnacentral:rRNA from 1 species